GACGAACGCUGGCGGCGUGCCUAAUACAUGCAAGUUGAGCGCUGAAGGUUGGUACUUGUACCAACUGGAUGAGCAGCGAACGGGUGAGUAACGCGUGGGGAAUCUGCCUUUGAGCGGGGGACAACAUUUGGAAACGAAUGCUAAUACCGCAUAAAAACUUUAAACACAAGUUUUAAGUUUGAAAGAUGCAAUUGCAUCACUCAAAGAUGAUCCCGCGUUGUAUUAGCUAGUUGGUGAGGUAAAGGCUCACCAAGGCGAUGAUACAUAGCCGACCUGAGAGGGUGAUCGGCCACAUUGGGACUGAGACACGGCCCAAACUCCUACGGGAGGCAGCAGUAGGGAAUCUUCGGCCAUGGACGAAAGUCUGACCGAGCAACGCCGCGUGAGUGAAGAAGGGUUUCGGAUCGUAAAACUCUGUUGGUAGAGAAGAACGUUGGUGAGAGUGGAAAGCUCAUCAAGUGACGGUAACUACACAAAAAGAGACGGCUAACUACGUG
rnacentral:rRNA from 1 species